CAUUCUUUCUUGAUUUUGCUUGUGUAUGUUUGUGUCCCUUUUCUUUUUGUUGGCUGUAGGUUUCAGAAUUAUGUAAUUGAAAUGUGGCACUUCAGAUAGCUUGUUCUUGGGUUUGUAAUAAAUUAAAUGUCUGAUUGUAUUGUGCAAAAAAGUGUAUCAUCAGACUUCUAGAAUUGUCGGAAAACAAAAUUUUCCAUCUUAGAUUAAGUCUAUGUUUUGGGAUAAAAGUAGAUAUGAUGUAUUCUAAUUGUCAUGGGAUAAUAAUAUAAGCA
rnacentral:misc_RNA from 1 species